rnacentral:rRNA from 1 species
UACGUAGGUGGCAAGCGUUGUCCGGAAUUAUUGGGCGUAAAGCGCGCGCAGGCGGUCCUUUAAGUCUGAUGUGAAAGCCCACGGCUCAACCGUGGAAGGUCAUUGGAAACUGGAGGACUUGAGUACAGAAGAGGAAAGCGGAAUUCCACGUGUAGCGGUGAGAUGCGUAGAGAUGUGGAGGAACACCAGUGGCGAAGGCGGCUUUCUGGUCUGUAACUGACGCUGAGGCGCGAAAGCGUGGGGAGCAAACAGG